GGACGUGAGGGCAGUCUGGCUGUGACAUCUGUCACCCUAAUGGUCGCCAGGGUUGAUUUGGCUGAUCUGGCUGGCUAGGCAGGUGACCUCUUCCUCCCUCAGUGCUCCAUGUGUGUGUCCCUCUGGAAGCUACGCACUUGCUUGACCUUUCCUGACAGAGGAGGACUGUUCUUAGGUCAAGGGUAUACAAAUAGCUAUGCUCCCUUGCUAGGCCCUCACACAAGAUUUUGAAGUCCAUUUGUAGUAGCAGAACACAGGGUAGCCAAGCUUCCAAGACUUUAGAUACAUCCAAGUAAGUCUGGGAAAAGCUGGGAGUGGAGCGAUAAAUU
rnacentral:snRNA from 1 species